GGAAUAUUGGUCAAUGGCCGAGAGGCUGAACCAGCCAUGCCGCGUGCGGGAGGACGGCCCUAUGGGUUGUAAACCGCUUUUUUGUGGGAGCAAUAAGUCUUACGUGUAGGACGAUGAGAGUACCAUGAGAAUAAGCAUCGGCUAACUCCGUGCCAGCAGCCGCGGUAAUACGGAGGAUGCGAGCGUUAUCCGGAUUUAUUGGGUUUAAAGGGUGCGUAGGCGGGUUCUUAAGCGUGAGGUGAAAUGCCACGGCUCAACCGUGGAACUGCCUCGCGAACUGGGAGUCUGGAAUGCCCCUGCCGUGGGAGGAAUGUGUGGUGUAGCGGUGAAAUGCAUAGAGAUCACACAGAACACCGAUUGCGAAGGCAUCUCACGAAGGGGUGAUUGACGCUGAGGCACGAAAGCGUGGGGAUCAAACA
rnacentral:rRNA from 1 species